CCCGCGCUAAGCUUCGAAGUGGUUCUGACGAAGCGCAUAUUAUAAUUUUAAAAUUCUUUUAUCCUUACUUGGCAAUAGGGGAGACCGAGGAAAACUGAACCAAAGGUCCAUCAGUGACGUCACCAUCUUCAUGUUGCUGCUGCUGAUUGAGCGGUGAUGAUGCCUCAAAGAAAACAUCAUCGCAAUCAGCGUCGUCGUGCGGCGUGGUCGCGCUACCUCGGAACGAACGUGACCAUUGU